AUGUCUGCCACAGACAUGACCCCCAGCCUGGCCAUCGUCUUCCUCCUGCUGCUCCCCGCGGGUGUCUAUUCCCAGGUCAGCCUGGUGGAGUCUGGAGGGGGAGUCAAGAAACCCGGGGAGACCCUCACACUGACCUGCACCGUGUCCGGAUUCUCCCUCGCUAUCUACGGGGCGCACUGGGCCCGCCAGCCAGCGGGGAAAGGGUUGGACUGGCUGGGAGGUAUCUGGGCUGAUGGGGGCACUAACUAUAACGAUGCUUUCAAAAGUCGACUCCCCAUCACCAGAGACACCUCCAAAGGCCACGUGUCCCUCCAACUGACCGGCCUGCAGCCCGGGGACACCUCCGUGUAUUACUGUGCCAGAUACACACUGUGA